AUGCUUGACCCUAGGUUCGACAAGCAUCACCGUGCCCGUUUCAUUGAGAAUGGAGUGAUGUUGCCGCCACUGCGGAUGAGGGCUCACAAGACGACGGUUAAGAUGGAGUACGACGAUCGGUACGCACCGUUCUUCAGGAGAGCCCGACUAUUGGGUUUCGUCCUGCAGUUCAAGCAUAAGCUGCCGACGCUCGUUCACUCAGCUCUCACGGCUUUGAUCGACCGGUGGCGGCCAGAGAUGCACAGCUUUCAUCUUCCAUGCGGGGAGAUGACCGUGACCCUCGAGGAUUGGGCGAUGAUUACGGCACUACCGCUGGAAAACACGCAAAGACACGGAGAGGAGAGUGAUUGA
rnacentral:rRNA from 1 species